rnacentral:rRNA from 1 species
CCUACGGGAGGCAGCAGUGAGGAAUAUUGGUCAAUGGACGAGAGUCUGAACCAGCCAAGUAGCGUGAAGGAUGACUGCCCUAUGGGUUGUAAACUUCUUUUAUAUGGGAAUAAAAUGUUCCACGUGUGGGAUUUUGUAUGUACCAUAUGAAUAAGGAUCGGCUAACUCCGUGCCAGCAGCCGCGGUAAUACGGAGGAUCCGAGCGUUAUCCGGAUUUAUUGGGUUUAAAGGGAGCGUAGGUGGAUUAUUAAGUCAGUUGUGAAAGUUUGCGGCUCAACCAUAAAAUUGCAGUUGAAACUGGCAGUCUGGAGUACAGUAGAGGUGGGCGGAAUUCGUGGUGUAGCGGUGAAAUGCUUAGAUAUCACGAAGAACUCCGAUUGCGAAGGCAGCUCACUGGACUGCAACUGACACUGAGGCUCGAAAGUGUGGGUAUCAAACAGGAUUAGAUACCCGAGUAGUC